rnacentral:misc_RNA from 1 species
UUCCGAUUUUAUACAAAUUCAGGCACUAUGAGGGAAAAGGAAAAUUUAUUUAAAACGACAACGUUUUGCUCAAAACUCAACAUGUCUGUACAUGACCAUUUGACUAUAAUGCCUUCGCCUUCUAAACUCACAAUUCCAAUUUCCAACACAGCAUCACCGUGGGAUCGGAUCAUACAAGACUAACCCCACAAGAAAAUCACGUGGCAUCCAAGUCAACUGCCUUCCAACAAUAGGGCAUUUUCGUAAAUUCAAUUGAUUGGGCCCAUCGAACAGCAGAAAACAUAACACGAACAUGGAAGUGAAAAAAAAAAAAAAAAAAGAAAACAGUUCAAAAAAUAACUUUGUUUUUUGUUUGUCUUUUCUUAAAUUACCUGUGAUUUACCGUCAGCAUCACGCGCCUCGGCGACAGAUGCCAAUUUCUGGAGGUUCAACUUCACAACUGUAUCGGCAAAGAGCCGUGUGUCCUCUUCGGUAUUGCCUUCCGGGACAUCGACGACGUACGAUUCUAAAACAACGGUCCAGAUCCCGCCGUCGCGUUCGAAUCCAUGCACAGUGGUCACCGACCGGUAAUUCCUAAGCCUGUGCUCCCCGCCAAUGAUAGUAAAACCGCUGACUUGUCGGUCAUCGUCCAGGAUGUCGAGCCUCUCCGUACUGGUGGCAGCC